rnacentral:rRNA from 1 species
GAUGAACGCUGGCGGCGUGCUUAACACAUGCAAGUCGAACGGUGAACGAGGGAGCUUGCUCCCUCCGGAUCAAUGGCGAACGGGUGAGUAACACGUGAGCAAUCUGCCCCGAACUCUGGGAUAAGCGCUGGAAACGGCGUCUAAUACCGGAUACGACGCGCGAAGGCAUCUUCUGCGCGUGGAAAGAAUUUCGGUUCGGGAUGAGCUCGGGGCCUAUCAGCUAGUUGGUGAGGUAACGGCUCACCAAGGCGACGACGGGUAGCCGGCCUGAGAGGGUGCCCGGCCACACUGGGACUGAGACACGGCCCAGACUCCUACGGGAGGCAGCAGUGGGGAAUAUUGCACAAUGGGCGCAAGCCUGAUGCAGCAACGCCGCGUGAGGGACGACGGCCUUCGGGUUGUAAACCUCUUUUAGUAGGGAAGAAGCGAAAGUGACGGUACCUGCAGAAAAAGCACCGGCUAACUACGUGCCAGCCGCCGCCGUAAGAC